rnacentral:rRNA from 2 species
UUUAUGGAGAGUUUGAUCCUGGCUCAGGAUGAACGCUGGCGGCGUGCCUAAUACAUGCAAGUCGAGCGAACGG